UGGCCCAGAUUGAAUCACGCACGGACAGCCCAGAUCGCAUCACGAUGGAUGGCCCAGAUUGAUUCUCAUUUUAAUCGCGAUCGGACGGUCCAGAUUAAAUCGUGAUUGAAGGCUGAGAUUAAAAGGGGAAAGUUAUAAAUAACCUCACCCACACCCAACCCAAACCCUAGCCGCCACCCGCCGCCGCACCGGAGGAUUUUUUGACUGCCAAACGAGGUAAAUUU
rnacentral:lncRNA from 1 species